rnacentral:other from 1 species
CUUGGGUUGUUUUAUAGCCACCCCUGAGCAAACAAUCGAAUAAUGCUGCAUCAACAAAGCUGUUUACUUAAUUACUAGGGAAAACGUGAUGUCUAGCAAGAUGAUGGGUACUGUAAAGUUUUUUAAUACCGAAAAAGGGUUUGGUUUUAUUUCUCCUGAAGACGGCAGCAAAGAUGUGUUUGUACAUUUUUCUGCUAUUCAGUCUACAAGUUUUAAAACCUUGGAUGAAGGGCAGCGAGUUGAGUUUUCUGUUGAGCAAGGACAGAAAGGCCCCGCAGCUGCAAACGUAGUGGCUUUGUAAGAGCAACGUUUCUGUUGAUUGACUAUU